rnacentral:misc_RNA from 1 species
CUCUUAGAUUUCCAUGCUUCUGCGGCUCUUUCCCUGGCCGGCUUUUUUUUUCAUCAUGAGACGCUGCGAUAGAGCGUAGCGAACUUGCUGUCUUUCCUAUUCACAGCGGCGCCUUGCUCAACGUGAUCUACAGUGGUGCUUGUACGCAGCUUGAGUGUGAGUCUCUUUUCCCCCUUUUUCUUUUUUUGCAUUUGCUUUUCAUAUCUGCUUCUCGCGUGAGUUACUCUGUUGCAUUAGGGAAGAGCGGAAGGGCAUAGCUUUUUCUCUUUGCGCCCUGCUGGCGUUUUUUUUUCGUUUAUUUAGAGGCCUUUCAAUGCUUUCGCAGUGCACGUUUGUGAUGUCGCGAUGGACAUCGCGCCUGCCCCCGUUUGCGCGACGCGCCAUGCAGGCGGAUCAGAUGGAGAUAGACUCGGCUCUGUCUCAGAUGUACUCCUUGUGCCUCAACCCCUCACUGGUGAGUAAAAUGAGCCGGGCCCGAAAGAUGACGAAGGGGCACUACUACCGUGAUGACCCUGCUUUUCUCAUGCUGCAGCUCUUGUUUGUCGUCUUCGUGUCGGUCGCGCAGUGGCUGCUGCUUGGUAUGAGAAGGUCGCUUUUGGGCACCGUGUUUGCCGCCAUCACAUGGUAUGUGCUGAGCGGAUUAGGCAUGGCUUGUGUAUGGCGUGCGGUCGCGGUGAUCUACCUCUCUCCAUCUUCGAAAUCCACGCAGAGCGGCGCUUUGGCUGAGGCUGCUUCAGCUCUCGGCGUCGAUUCUGCCGUGGACUACCUGCACCCCGACCUGGACUGGCGCUACGCUUUUGACGUGCACUGCAACGGCUACUUCACAUUCUUCAUGUGGACAGAGGUGAUCGCGUACUUUCUGGCACCGGUCAUGAGCGCGCCAUGGGUGAGCAACGCGCUUGUUGCAAUUGGAGCCACCACGUAUCUGUACAGUGUCUUCCUGGGCUACCUGGAGAUCCCGUCAUUGUCAUGCCAGCAACGUCUACUCUAUCCUGUGCUGAUUAUAGGCGUGCUAUUCCUCCUCCUUAGCCUCUGCGAUGUUAAUGUCGGGUUGACACUGUGGCUGCUGCAAUGCGCAGAAUAAUAGUAACAACAAAGAAAACAACGUACACAUACACACAAACAUGCGCGAAACACGAGAAGGGAGGCAGCGACGAUUUUUCUUUGCCCCCUUUUCCUUUUCUGCGACAUGACCCCCUUCUCCCCAAAGACUUGGUCUCUUAGAUAUCAAAGUACCGCACAAGAGUCGCUGAAGUAUGCGGCUAAAUGCGCGUCCCGCAGUUUCGAAAAAAGGACUAGGAAGUGCGGGGUGGGGGAAUGAUGACCUCUUUUCUGCUCUUAGUGAGGUCGAUGCGUAUGUUCGUGUACGUUAAAGGCAAACGGAGAAGUAUCGUGCUUCCUUUCUGCGUCCUCCUGACGAUUCAGUGCAUGCUGACCUGUCCCCCCUUCCCCCUUUCUCGGGCAGCCGUUCCUGGGGCGGUUCUGGCAAUUUCGCACAAGGUGUGAUGCUGCAGGCAGCUCAUAUUCGUUAAAUACUCUCCGAUUUUCUUCCCCUCUGUUUCUCUCUCUGCUUGACUUCAUCGCCGCCUCCGCAG